rnacentral:rRNA from 1 species
GAGUUUGAUCAUGGCUCAGAUUGAACGCUGGCGGCAGGCCUAACACAUGCAAGUCGAGCGAGAAAGGCCUUCGGGCUGAGUACAGCGGCGGACGGGUGAGUAACGCGUGGGAAUCUGCCCAAUAGUGGGGGACAACUCGGGGAAACUCGAGCUAAUACCGCAUACGCCCUACGGGGGAAAGCAGGGGAUCUUCGGACCUUGCGCUAUUGGAUGAGCCCGCGUCGGAUUAGCUUGUUGGUGGGGUAAUGGCCUACCAAGGCGACGAUCCGUAGCUGGUCUGAGAGGAUGAUCAGCCACACUGGGACUGAGACACGGCCCAGACUCCUACGGGAGGCAGCAGUGGGGAAUAUUGGACAAUGGGGGCAACCCUGAUCCAGCCAUGCCGCGUGUGUGAAGAAGGCCUUCGGGUUGUAAAGCACUUUCAGCGGGGAGGAAAAGUUGCCGGCUAAUACCCGGCGACCGUGACGUUACCCGCAGAAGAAGCACCGGCUAACUCCGUGCCAGCAGCCGCGGUAAUACGGAGG